rnacentral:rRNA from 1 species
GCACGGCUAACUACGUGCCAGCAGCCGCGGUAAUACGUAGGGUGCUAGCGUUAUCCGGAUUUACUGGGCGUAAAGGGUGCGUAGGUGGUCUUUCAAGUCGGUGGUUAAAGGCUACGGCUCAACCGUAUUAAGCCGCCGAAACUGGAAGACUUGAGUGCAGGAGAGGAAAGUGGAAUUCUCAGUGUAGCGGUGAAAUGCGUAGAUAUUGGGAAGAACACCAGUAGCGAAGGCGGCUUUCUGGACUGCAACUGACACUGAGGCACGAAAGCGUGGGUAGCAAACAGGAUUAGAUACCCUGGUAGUCCACGCCGUAAACGAUGAGUACUAGGUGUCGGGGGUUACCCCCUCGGUGCCGCAGUUAACGCAUUAAGUACUCCGCCUGGGGAGUACGCACGCA